rnacentral:rRNA from 1 species
CCUACGGGAGGCAGCAGUAGGGAAUCUUCCACAAUGGGCGAAAGCCUGAUGGAGCAACGCCGCGUGGGUGAAGAAGGUCUUCGGAUCGUAAAACCCUGUUGUUAGAGAAGAAAGUGCGUGAGAGUAACUGUUCACGUUUCGACGGUAUCUAACCAGACAGCCACGGCUAACUACGUGCCAGCAGCCGCGGUAAUACGUAGGUGGCAAGCGUUAUCCGGAUUUAUUGGGCGUAAAGGGAACGCAGGCGGUCUUUUAAGUCUGAUGUGAAAGCCUUCGGCUUAACCGGAGUAGUGCAUUGGAAACUGGGAGACUAGAGUGAAGAAGAGGAGAGUGGAACUCCAGGUGUAGCGGUGAAAUGCGUAGAUAUAUGGAAGAACACCAGUGGCGAAAGCGGCUCUCUGGUCUGUAACUGACGCUGAGGUUCGAAAGCGUGGGUAGCAAACAGGAUUAGAUACCCCAGUAGUC